CAAGACCUGCACUUUUGGAGCGGCCGAUGUCUGAUUAGCUAGUUGGUGGGGUAAUGGCCUACCAAAGCUUCGAUCAGUGGCUGGUCUGAGAGGACGGCCAGCCACACUGGGACUGAGACACGGCCCAGACUCCUACGGGAGGCAGCAGUGGGGAAUUUUGGACAAUGGGCGCAAGCCUGAUCCAGCCAUGCCGCGUGAGUGAAGAAGGCCUUCGGGUUGUAAAGCUCUUUCAGUCGGGAAGAAAAGGUUGCGACUAAUAAUCGCAAUUCAUGACGGUACCGGAAGAAGAAGCACCGGCUAACUACGUGCCAGCAGCCGCGGUAAUACGUAGGGUGCGAGCGUUAAUCGGAAUUACUGGGCGUAAAGGGUGCGCAGGCGGUUUUGUAAGUCAGAUGUGAAAUCCCCGGGCUUAACCUGGGAACU
rnacentral:rRNA from 1 species